UACGUAGGGUGCGAGCGUUGUCCGGAAUUAUUGGGCGUAAAGGGCUCGUAGGCGGUUUGUCGCGUCGGGAGUGAAAACCCGGGGCUCAACUCCGGGCCUGCAGUCGAUACGGGCUGGCUUGAGUGCGGUAGGGGAGACUGGAAUUCCUGGUGUAGCGGUGAAAUGCGCAGAUAUCAGGAAGAACACCAAUGGCGAAGGCAGCUCUCUGGGACGGUACUGACGCUGAGACGCGAAAGCGUGGGGAGCGAACAGG
rnacentral:rRNA from 1 species